AUAAAAGGCUGCAGCCAUGUUUCACGGAGGGCGUCCUGUCACCCACGUGUGACUCUCCUCUUGGUGAGGUUCUGCUGUGUAGUCAAUGAGCAAGCGCCUUCCUGAAGCCAGAGGAGACCCUUUGUUCUGCCCUUCUGUCUCGGUUUUUAAUCAGUGUUUUGUCACAGCAACAGGAACAAGCUCCUGUGAGAGGGCAAAGUCCAAGUCCUGCCUGCAUCUACCAUGUCUCAGAACCCAUUAUCUGAAGGUGCUCACUAUGCCAAGCCACCAUCUUGUACACUAAAGCCUUCUCACCAGGAACUAAAGAGUGUGGAGGCCUGUGGUGAGAGGCAGGUUUCCCUGAAGAGCAGCUGCUGAUGUGCACAGAGAAUUAGUGAAACUGCCGAAGGCAUUCUGGAGUGGAUCAGGGUGGUCCUGUGAAUUUAACUCUAAAUAUGCUCAAAUUCACUGAAAUGAGCAAUUUCAGUGAGUAAACAAUUUCAGUGGGCUUCACUGAACAGCAGAGGAGGAAUCUGGAGUCACAGUGCCCUUCACUUCAGAAACAUUUCCUUGCGAACAGAAAAGAAAAGACCACUGCACAAGGGCCACCCAGCCCAUUGGAAGGAGAAACCUGCAUUUGGAUGAAACCGAAGUCUCCGACGCUGUGACACCACACGGCUGCUGGUUGAGCAGAGCAGUGUCCAUGUGGGAACUGUCAGAAAACAGUGAGCAUGACUGGGCGGACACUGCCAACCACAGCCAACCACAGCCCACGUUAUUAAAGAGUCCUCCAUUUCAAACAGACACUUUACCUGGAGCACAGCAUGUCAGCACCAGAGCCUCCCCACGUGUUCGCCGUGUGGGUGCUCACUGAGAUGGGCUGAUCAGUGAGCACAGAGCUGGUGCCGGGCAACAACGUCCUGCGUGGAAGAGCAGCCGUGGCCAGCGCAGACCCGAGAGGCUGGCCUUGGUUUCCCUCUGUGAACGGCUCUUCCUGAACUUCCUGUGGUCUCAGAGGGGUCAGAGCACCCAGGGAUCCUGGAAACUGUCCCUGUGAUAGGCGGAGACAGUUGGAGGCAUCCCUCGCAGGCCUGUGACUCCUCAGUCGUGUCUGCGAGCCCCGGGGCCUUGCUGGUUCUGCAGGCUCAGCUUGAUUGUUCCUAGGCCACCAGUCUCCGUUUGGUGUGAAUGGACCUUUGUUCACACUCUGCCUACGUCUGUGCCUUCUUCACUGAGAGGCAUUCAGAGUCGAGCCCCGAGUGCAAUGGGAGGGAGGAGUGAUCGGCGCGCAGUGCGGGAUUCAAAGCCUGUCUGGGCCUUUGGAGACUCCGGAUCCACCAGUCACUGGGAGUUCUGAGCCUCAGCGUCCACAGCGGUGUUGUUGGGAGGUGACUAACCCCUGCCCCAGAGUCCGAUGCCUCAGUUUUGGUGUCUCCUUCCACUUCAGUUCACACUGUGGGGAUCUGCUCUGUUCCCAUCGGUUCUGAACGUGCUCAUUUCAGCGGAGCUGUGGAGACCACCACGUACCAGAGACUUCAGUUUCAUCCUUUACUGCCACACUCAUUCCAAUCCGCCACUGAUAUAAGGCUUUAAAUCAAAGGACACGAGAAGCAGGGACAGAGCUGCAAAAGUUCCAGCCACUCUGACUCUUCCAACUCUACGCUUGAUUCCGUGAGGACAGCACAGGCUCUUUGAAUUUCGGAGGUCGUGACUUCCCUGAAUAGAAAGUGCAUGAGUUCGGCUCCUUCUCCUUUGGAGAUGGUGAGAUAAAUGGAAUCAAACCCGUUCCCUCCUUCCUGUCUCCAACAUUCUGCAUGUUUGUUAACUGCAAGAGUUACCUGUCUGAUGAGCUCUGUUGCCUGCUCUUCAAUCACUUCCCCCAGUGAGGCAGCCUUGCCAGGGAAGAGGAUGCAGGCAGUCUUGAAGAGACUUGGCAGUCUGAGGUCAGUUGGUAAUGGAGGAGGGUCCCCCUUUGUGAGGACUAGGGAACAGGGAUGGAGGAGGAGGGAGGGAGGGUGGCACCGGGAGGAGCAGAGGGAGGCUAUAAUCAGGAU